rnacentral:rRNA from 1 species
UCAUCUUCGGGGGUAGAGCACUGUUUCGACUAGGGGGUCAUCCCGACUUACCAACUCGAUGCAAACUGCGAAUACCGAAGAAUGUUAUCACGGGAGACACACGGCGGGUGCUAACGUCCGUCGUGAAGAGGGAAACAACCCAGACCGCCAGCUAAGGUCCCAAAGUCAUGGUUAAGUGGGAAACGAAGUGGGAAGGCUCAGACAGCCAGGAUGUUGGCUUAGAAGCAGCCAUCAUUUAAAGAAAGCGUAAUAGCUCACUGGUCGAGUCGGCCCGCGCGGAAGAUGUAACGGGGCUAAACCAUGCACCGAAGCUGCGGCAGCGACACAAAGUGUUGUUGGGUAGGGGAGCGUUCUGUAAGCCUGCGAAGGUGUACUGUGAGGUAUGCUGGAGGUAUCAGAAGUGCGAAUGCUGACAUAAGUAACGAUAAUGCGGGUGAAAAACCCGCACGCCGGAAGACCAAGGGUUCCUGUCCAACGUUAAUCGGGGCAGGGUGAGUCGACCCCUAAGGCGAGGCUGAAAAGCGUAGUCGAUGGGAAACGGGUUAAUAUUCCCGUACUGGUGGUAACUGCGAUGGGGGAACGGAGAAGGCUAGGUUGUCCGGGCGACGGUCGUCCCGGUUCAAGCAGGUAGGCAGAGUGAUUAGGCAAAUCCGGUCACUUAAUGCUGAGAUGUGAUGACGAACCACCAAGGUGGUGAAGCAAUUGAUGCCCCGCUUCCAGGAAAAGCCUCUAAGCUUCAGGUUACCAACAAUCGUACCCCAAACCGACACAGGUGGUCAGGUAGAGAAUACUCAGGCGCUUGAGAGAACUCGGGUGAAGGAACUAGGCAAAAUGGUGCCGUAACUUCGGGAGAAGGCACGCUGGCGGUAGGUAAAGUCCCU